rnacentral:rRNA from 1 species
UUGACCUCGGAUCAGUAGGGAUACCCGCUGACUCAGCAU